GGACAUCACGAGGAGCUGUGGUGCCUAGGACUCCGCCAUUGCUUCGACACCACGAGGAGACAAGACAUAGGGCGGUACUUUUGACGUUGUCCCUGGAGUUGUGCAUCAUCGACUAGGUAUUGUACAUGCGGCAAGUCCUGCUCUGAUUCCACUCUGUCACGAGCAUAGAGUCUCGCGCAGCACUGCGCCCGUGCGGCGCCCCGGGAGCCCUCCCGCUUGGCUCCGAGGCAAGCCUCGCCAUGCCGUACCGAACUGGUUU
rnacentral:lncRNA from 1 species